GUCUACGGUCAUGCCACCUGAUUCCAGAAACAGCAGAAUCGGGACUGACCAGUGGUUGAAUAGGAGACUGCCUGGGAAUAGCAGGUGCUUUAGGCU
ensembl:rRNA 5S_rRNA 5S ribosomal RNA